rnacentral:rRNA from 1 species
GACGAACGCUGGCGGCGUGCCUAAUACAUGCAAGUUGAGCGAUGAAGCUUGGUGCUUGCACCAAUUUGAAGAGCAGCGAACGGGUGAGUAACGCGUGGGGAAUCUGCCUUUGAGCGGGGGACAACAUUUGGAAACGAAUGCUAAUACCGCAUAACAACUUUAAACAUAAGUUUUAAGUUUGAAAGAUGCAAUUGCAUCACUCAAAGAUGAUCCCGCGUUGUAUUAGCUAGUUGGUGAGGUAAAGGCUCACCAAGGCGAUGAUACAUAGCCGACCUGAGAGGGUGAUCGGCCACAGUGGGACUGAGACACGGCCCAAACUCCUACGGGAGGCAGCAGUAGGGAAUCUUCGGCAAUGGACGAAAGGCUGACCGAGCAACGCCGCGUGAGUGAAGAAGGGUUUCGGAUCGUAAAACUCUGUUGGUAGAGAAGAACGUUGGUGAGAGUGGAAAGCUCAUCAAGUGACAGUAACUACCCAGAAAGGGACGGCUAACUACGUG